AAAAAAAAAUAUUGUUUACAUAUUAUAGAAAAACUAUAUUAAAAAAAACGAAUAAAAGGGAUAGUUCACAUUAAAAAUGAAAAAAGAAAAAAAAUCUAAUAUUUAUAAUAUAAAUUUCACGAUCUUCUCUUAUAACACAAUAAUGGCUUUAAAUUAUCUUUUGUGGGUUAUUUCACAGCCAAAUUUGAUGUGCGAUUAAUAUGUGAUUAAUUAGAUUAUUCAAUUGCCAAACUGUGUAAUUAAUUAGAUAAAAAAAUGUAAACAAUUGACAGCCCUAGUAGAAAUACUCCAAACUCGAUAGUCUUCAGGGACUAAGAUGUAUAAUAAUACAAAAGCAGGACGUCCUAUCAGAAGCCAACAUCUCAGAGAAUUGGUAAUCUUUGCAUUACAGCUGCACUCAUCACAGAGCUUGAUGAAGCACCUCAGUGGGUGAUGGAUGGGCUUCUGUGUUCAGUUUCCCGCGGGAUCGCUGUCUUGGAUGGUGAUGUUGAGUGGUGUCCCUCCACAUCUAUAGGAACAAAUCAUGGCGUCAGGUGGUGUGGCGCUCUCACUCACCCUUGCUCAGCUGAGUCACUCUUACCAUAGCGAAUACCUGCUUUAUAUCUCUCACUGACAGUGAAGAUCAAUAGUGAUGCCUCGCUCGGUGGGUGACGGUUGGGGUCCAAUUCAGCUUCUCGUGGGAGACUAACGCCUCCUGUGCUGUGGUGCAUGAGAAAUAACAACAACAGCAAUAAUAAUACAUUUGCAAAUAAGCUGUGAUGCAGUGACUACCAAUGGGAGAAAAGAAAGUGGUCGGCCACCUGAUACAGCUGGAUAUGGAAGAAGACAAAUAAUAAGAACCAUAAAAGAAUAAGAAUAACAGAAAAAACUAAAAUAAAAAUGUAUAAUUUAAUAGUAAUAGUAAAUAGUAGGCCUUCAUGUAUAAUUAUCAAUUGUGUAAUAAUAAAAUAAGUUUUAUAAUUAUAUGUAUAAUAACUACAAAUAAUUGACUUUUUCAAAAUAAAAAUAAAAAUAGUACAGGAGAUCGCUGGAGACUAGAAGGUGAGUACACAGGAGAUCGCUGGAGACUAGAAGGUGAGUACACAGGAGAUCGCUGGAGACUAGAAGGUGAGUACACAGGAGAUCGCUGGAGACUAGAAGGUGAGUACAGGAGAUCGCUGGAGACUAGAGGGUGAGUACAGGAGAUCGCUGGAGACUAGAGGGUGAGUACACAGGAAAUCGCUGGAGACUAGAGGGUGAGUACAGGAGAUCGCUGGAGACUAGAAGGUGAGUACACAGGAGAUCGCUGGAGACUAGAAGGUGAGUACAGGAGAUCGCUGGAGACUAGAAGGUGAGUACAGGAGAUCGCUGGAGACUAGAAGGUGAGUACACAGAGGAGACUAGAAGGAGAGUACAGGAGAUCGCUGGAGACACAGAGGUGAGUAUAGAUCACUGGAGACUUAAAAUGGAACAGGUAAGACUUUGAUGAAGGAAAAUCACUUAAGGAUCCUUUACAGGCACAAGGAGUGGUCUAAGAGUCCAUAAGGGUGACCAGGCAAUGGGUGCUUCUCAAAUGGAAGGGCACUUCAUUAUAAGGCUGUAUAUCCAAGCUGCCACAUUAUCAAGCUCCAUCUAAGGAUGUCUCGAUGUUAAGGAUCCUUAGUAGGCAGUCUAAUUUACAAUGGAAGCCUGUGUGGGGCAAGACUUUGCAUUGGAAUAAACAUUUCAAAACCAUAAAACGUAUACAUUAUACAUGUUAACAUAAACUUUAUGAUAAAAUGGUUACUAACCAUAUAAGCAACGUUAUAUUCAUUUUUAACUGCUGUGAUGACAAUGUAAAUCCAGUAAUUUUCGCAUGACACACGUGGAUACUAGAAACGGAAUGUGUGUUAACAGAGCACACUUGGUAAUACUUUAUUUUACAGUGUCAUUUUUACAUGUUAUGUGCAAUUACUAUAGUAUAAUAACAGUAAAUAAUGCAUAACGCCUUGCAACUAAGUCUAAAUCAAAGCCCUAAUCCUUUAGUAAGUACAUGUUGUUAAUUAAAUAUUCCUCAGUGUACUUAAAUGUAAAAAAAGAAAUAAAAAAGAAUCAAUAAAAUAGUUUUAACCAAACUAUGCACUUUUAAAUCUUCUGUAAUCGUGUACUUCAUAGUUGUCUUUCGUAAACUGAUUUCUGUAAACACAUUCUUGUGGAAUUAACGUCUUUAUUAUUUGUCUGCUCUCUUAACAGGGACCUAAGCAGUGCUGAGAUUCUCCAGGAUCAGUACAGUCUGCUUGGAAGACAAACAGCAGUAUACUGGCGCAGUUUGGCCGCAGGUGGACAAAGAUUGCCAAACUAAUCGGCACUAGGACAGUUCUACAGGCGAAGAGCUAUGCUAGGCAGUGCUUCAAAAAUAAGGUAUGACUUUAGACCAUUUCCACAUCACUAUAUGAAUAUCUAUACGCUUUUGGUUCAGAUGUGUGGUGCUUUAAACUGAAUUCAUAUAUAAGAGAAUAAUUAUAAAUAUAGACAUCAAAGGGGGUAUUUUUAAAAUCCUCAAAAAAAUAGCGUCCUAUAAAAGCAUUCUGAAGGUGUUCACUAACAAUAACAAUGUCAGUAACACCCGAUGUACUUGUUACAUCGUAAGAAGAAUGGCAUCUACGCUAAUAUCAGUCUGUCUCAUUCGUAUUCUGAGGUCACUAUAGCCACCCAGAUCCAGUCUGUAUCCAGAUCAGAUGGUCACUGCAGUGGCCCGGAUCCAGUCCAGAUGGUGGAUCAGCACCUAGAGACGACCAGGACAACCCUGAAUGUCAGAAGAGAUCAUGUCAACUAGAAGAGUCCCAAAGACAGAUCCCCAGCGAAAGACCUCGUCAACUAUAGGGCCACUGGCACAAAACCUCAGCAAAGACCAUGAUGAACCACAUCAUAUUCGUCAGUGGAGAAUUGCUCCUCCCCACAGAUUGAGUCUGGUUACUACCAAGGUUUUUUCUCCAUUUCGUAUUGCCUUUGGCUUGCUUAGGUGGGGACACUGCAUUUUUGGGGUUAUUAACGACUUGAUUUCACAGACAAUAUAUGAAGAGAACUGAACUGAGCUGGAUGAUGAUGACAUCAAUGAGUCAACGAUGAACUGACUUUUACUGAAAUAUUGCCUGUUUAUUUUUUUACUUUUUAGAGCUGCUUUACAGCAUAACUGAAUUUUGUUUGCAUUAUCUACACUAUUUUCCUGUUUAACAAUGUAAAGCUGCUAUUACACAAUCUGUUUUGUAUAAAGCACU
ensembl:lncRNA